rnacentral:lncRNA from 1 species
AUGUUAGUAUUUUCUUGUUUUCUUUUUCUUUUUUUAUUGCCACACCCAUGGCAGGGAUUGAAGCCACAUCUCGCAGGUCCCUGAGCUGCUGCAGUCAGAUUCUUAACCCACUGUGCCACAGCAGGAAACUCCAAUAUUUUCUUGUUGCUGUAUAACCUCUCUCCCUGCAGUCAGAAGAGUUUCUUUUUUGUCAUAUUGUAUUUGUUUCCAACGGGGAAUGUUUCCCAGUUUAUUCAACUUGGUUUUGUUCAUAAUACUUUGGCUUAUAGGAAAUUUAACUUUUCUGAAGUCAAAUCUAGUGGUGUCUCUGUUGCAUAACCUAGCUUAAACAGAAGAGGAUUUGUUAGAGGGAUCAAAGUUCACAGAAAUUUCACAAGGAAUCCUACAGAAAUCAGGGCAAUUCUGUGGAUCUUGGGAAAUGGAACUAAUAACAUCAUCAACCUCUAAAUCCAUCCUUCUGCUUCUCCUCAACUCCCCUGUGGUCUCUGUUUGGCUUCACAUACUCCUGCCAUCAGUUUACUCUAGAUAUCCUUCUAGCUUCUAUACCCAGAGAGGUCAAGAGGAUUUGAUUUAUCUCAGGUAGGAAAAUCCUGGGGAAGGACUCUGGCUGGCCCAGGCUUAUGACAAGCUCACCUCCAGACCAGUCAUUGUGCCAAGACAAUAAAGGGCUCUGAUUUGCCAGAUACAGACAUGUCAUCAAAGGGAGAGAAGAGCUAACCCCAAGGAAAGGGGAGGAUAGGGCACUGGGCAGACAGAGCAGAACAAAGCAGAAAGCACCCAAACACAAACGUCUGUUAGAAGUUUUUCAACCUUAAUACUUUGUUCUACUGUUUGAUACUUCUUUCUUCAUCCUGGAGUCUGCUGAUUUUUCCUCUGAAUCUCACUUUUUUACAUUUGGCUCUAUCGUUACCAAAUCCCUUCGGUCUUCCCUUCUGACAAUCAUUUUGUCACUUCCACUGGCUUGGCCGUGGCCAGUCUGGCUAUUUGGGACCCUGGGUGUGGUCAAAUAAACUUGUUUUCCUGAAUCCGCUCACCUCCAACCCACGCAUGCUCCCCUUCCUCAGUUCAUCCUGCACACCAUCACAAAAUGAAUAAUCCUCUAAUGCCACAGCCAUCCCUUUAAUGAUGUCACUUUGCUCUUCACAAGCCCUUACUGUAGCUUCCCUGCCCCACCCAUUUACUGGAGAGGAGGUGAUAGAUAAUGUAACAAUGAAGUGUUGUUUCAUGUAGCCUUCACAACCCUGCUUGGUGGGUAGAAUCUCCAUUGGAUAGAGGGCAGAGGGCAAAUUGAAGUUCAAAGAAGUUAAAUCACUAAAUACCCUACAGUUCAUAGGCGGUGGAGCUGGGACUUAAUCUCUACUCUGCCUGAAUCCUUAUACAAGAAACGAACCUCCCCAUAGUAGAUGGGCCUCAGAGUAGGAUCUAAAUGCUUUAGGCUUUUGCACAUUGAUUACCAGGCUUUGCUUCCUCUCAUUGCCAUAAAUCUAUCCCUCUCUCUAAACUUAUCACCUCCCAAUCCUACCACCACUACCCCCAAGCCUCUGAGCUUCUCUUGCCUUCAUCUUUUGGGGUAUUUUUCAUCAACACAUUACCUACUCCCUCCUUUUCGCCUAUCAAGAGUUCACCUCCCCUAAUCUCUGCCUAAUUCCACUUCUUCCAUAAAAUCUUUCCUGAUUAUCUCACAAUAUUUCCUUUCAAAAUGCCUAAAAUAUGCUUCUCUGAUAUCCAUUUAAUUAUGAGAUUAUUGUCUCCUAUGUCCAUGUAUAUUUUAACUUUGACCAUCCUACUAACUAGAUAAUAAGCCCCUUGAGGUCAAGUCCACGAUUUAUGUUUCUCUGUAUUUCCACAUGCCUAGGCCAAGGCCUUAUAACAAAUUAGUCAAUACUUGUUGAUCCAUGUCCUCCAACCUUCUGUAUUAGGAGAUAUAAUAAUCCUUUAUUUUUUUAAUAUUUUUAUUUUUUUUGGCCAUGCUCAUGGCAUUUGGAUGUUCCCAGGCCAGGGAUCAAACCUGCACCAUAGCAGUGACCAGAGCUGCUGCAGUGACAAUGCCAGAGGGAAUUCCACUGAUCAGUGAUUUUCCGGAGUGAAGAGAAUAUCAAUUGUAAAAUUCUGAGAUAAAUAGAUAAAUAUAUUGGGAAAUUGUCAUUAGCAUAUAUGUAGUUUACCUCCUAAUAUACAUGGUAAUAAACAUGCACAGGGAACUUAUUAUUACCUUCCAGCACAUGGAAGUUGUUAUUGAUAUACUUUAAUAAUAGCUCACAGCAUCUAGAGAGAUAGGAAAUCAAUUUUAGAGGAUAUUACAUUAAAAUUUUUAUCCUCUACACUUCACUUUCUAGUAGAUUUUGCAAUAUUAUUUGAUAUAAUAAAUAGAAGUUACUGAGAGACAAAUUGUUUUGGGAGAAUGUGGAGAAAUCAUCUAAAGAUUGUUUUUUUGGGGGGGGGUUUAGAGCAUCUGUUUCAACUGACAUUGCUUUGAAAAUGGCAUGAAACUUUGAGAUGAUAAAUGUUUAUAAUUUGCAUCCACAUUGUUACUAACACAAUAGCCUGUUAAAUCCCUUGCCAUGAAUAUGAACAGACUGUAGGCCAUCCACAUUAUUUAUCAAGAGGGAAAUAGACAUCAUUCACACAUUUUAAUUGCUCCUUUGGCACCAACAGUCUGAAAAUGAAACAUAAAAAUGUAGCCUUGGGAGGUUUUGCUGUGCAAUGACUUUAGUGCAAACUUGACCAUGGGGACCAAUGCCUCUAUCACACUUAUGCAGAGACCUGAAUAAAAUCAGUUUAUAGUUUCAACCCAGGUCCUGGUGGCCAGUUGGCAUAUUUUAAAACUCAUUCUGUCGGCUGUAAACCCAACAAUCCCUACAGAUGACCCAAAAUAAAGAAGUAAGUGAUAAGAUUGAUAGGGAAAGUACAUUUCCUGCUCAUCCUUAAGAGGAAUUUUUCCUGCUCAAGGUUCAAACAUUCUGAUAAAACUAGAAGAAACAUGUCCAUGUUCUCCUUACCUAGAGAAAUUAACCCUUAAUGCUACAAAAUGAGGAUCAGUUUUGCUUCUAAAACUUAAAUUAUUAUAAUAUAUAAUUUUAAGAAAAAUUUAUAAGAAAAAAAUCAAUCUUGGCGUUCCCUCUGUGCUACAACAGGAUGGGUGGCAUCUUUGCGGCACACAGUGAAUUAAAGGAUCCAAUGUUGCCACAGCUGCGCCUCAGGUAGCAACUGGGGCUCAGAUCUGACCCCUGGCCAGGGAACUCCACAUACACCGUAGAGGGGCCAAAAAGGAAAAAAAGAAAAGAAAAGAAAAACGAAAAAAAAUUACUCUUAUGAAAAAAAAAGUAAAGAAAAUAUUGAAAGUACUAGGAAGGUUUUCUCCCCUCAACUAGGAGUCAUUCAUAUUCACUCUAGGUCCAGUGUCCAGAGGGAAGACACUUAGCGGAGAGAUUUACACCUAAGCACUGAGUAAGAGGAACCAGCGUAUAGGCUGCCUGGCAAAUGAGGCUACUCUUCCUCCCUAAAGCUAAGACUUGAAGGGCUGCAAAGCUAAAGAGGAGGACUGGCAAUAAGGUUUGUGAGAAACACCAAGUCAGAGAAGAGGCUUUUGGAUUCAAGCCACAACAGAGAUCACCAAAGAUCAAGAAACCCUAGAAAUAAUUUACCCUUGAUUUGCUCUGUCUGCAACAAAACCUCCUGCAGGCAUCACCAUCACUCUGGAUGCUUGCAUCAAAAUCUUGGUGUUGACUGGCCCCCUCUUCAAAAUAUGUCCCAAAUCCUACAGGUCCUUAUGACUCCGCUCCUAUUCAUGCUUCCUAUGGUAAAGAUUCUCCACAACUUUGAAAAUACCAAUGGCUUGCUAGAAAUCCAGCAGUGGCUGCUCAUUUCCCAUAGAGCAAAACUGAAGUCUGUAACGCAGCCUGCAUAGCUUUGCAUGAUCUGCUCCCAAAUUUGACCUUUGCUCCAGAUGUGAUACUCUUCCUGGAACAUG